GUACAGAGGGGGCAAGCGUUGUUCGGAAUUACUGGGCGUAAAGGGCGCGUAGGCGGCCUUCUAAGUCGAACGUGAAAUCCCCGGGCUCAACCCGGGAACUGCGUCCGAUACUGGAAGGCUUGAAUCCGGGAGAGGGAUGCGGAAUUCCAGGUGUAGGCGGUGAAAUGCGGCAGAGUAUCAAGGAGGAACACCAGUGGCGA
rnacentral:rRNA from 1 species